rnacentral:rRNA from 1 species
GUGGGGAAUAUUGGACAAUGGGCGCAAGCCUGAUCCAGCCAUGCCGCGUGAGUGAAGAAGGCCUUAGGGUUGUAAAACUCUUUCAGUGGGGAAGAUAAUGACGGUACCCACAGAAGAAGCCCCGGCUAACUCCGUGCCAGCAGCCGCGGUAAUACGGAGGGGGCUAGCGUUGUUCGGAAUUACUGGGCGUAAAGCGCACGUAGGCUGUUGUUCAAGUUGGGCGUGAAAGCCCGGGGCUCAACCCCGGAAUUGCGCUCAAAACUAGACAGCUAGAGUCCGAGAGAGGUGAGUGGAAUUCCCAGUGUAGAGGUGAAAUUCGUAGAUAUUGGGAAGAACACCAGUGGCGAAGGCGGCUCACUGGCUCGGUACUGACGCUGAGGUGCGAAAGCGUGGGGAGCAAACAGG